rnacentral:rRNA from 1 species
GACGAACGCUGGCGGCGUGCUUAACACAUGCAAGUCGAACGGAAAGGCCCUGCUUUUGUGGGGUGCUCGAGUGGCGAACGGGUGAGUAACACGUGAGUAACCUGCCCUUGACUUUGGGAUAACUUCAGGAAACUGGGGCUAAUACCGGAUAGGAGCUCCUGCUGCAUGGUGGGGGUUGGAAAGUUUCGGCGGUUGGGGAUGGACUCGCGGCUUAUCAGCUUGUUGGUGGGGUAGUGGCUUACCAAGGCUUUGACGGGUAGCCGGCCUGAGAGGGUGACCAGCCACAUUGGGACUGAGAUACGGCCCAGACUCCUACGGGAGGCAGCAGUGGGGAAUAUUGCACAAUGGGCGGAAGCCUGAUGCAGCAACGCCGCGUGCGGGAUGACGGCCUUCGGGUUGUAAACCGCUUUCGCCUGUGACGAAGCGUGAGUGACGGUAAUGGGUAAAGAAGCACCGGCUAACUACGUGCCAGCAGCCGCGGUGAUACGUAGGGUGCGAGCGUUGUCCGGAUUUAUUGGGCGUAAAGGGCUCGUAGGUGGUUGAUCGCGUCGGAAGUGUAAUCUUGGGGCUUAACCCUGAGCGUGCUUUCGAUACGGGUUGACUUGAGGAAGGUAGGGGAGAAUGGAAUUCCUGGUGGAGCGGUGGAAUGCGCAGAUAUCAGGAGGAACACCAGUGGCGAAGGCGGUUCUCUGGGCCUUUCCUGACGCUGAGGAGCGAAAGCGUGGGGAGCGAACAGGCUUAGAUACCCUGGUAGUCCACGCUGUAAACGGUGGGUACUAGGUGUGGGGUCCAUUCCACGGGUUCCGUGCCGUAGCUAACGCUUUAAGUACCCCGCCUGGGGAGUACGGCCGCAAGGCUAAAACUCAAAGGAAUUGACGGGGCCCCGCACAAGCGGCGGAGCAUGCGGAUUAAUUCGAUGCAACGCGUAGAACCUUACCUGGGUUUGACAUGGAUCGGGAGUGCUCAGAGAUGGGUGUGCCUCUUUUGGGGUCGGUUCACAGGUGGUGCAUGCCUGUCGUCAGCUCGUGUCGUGAGAUGUUGGGUUAAGUCCCGCAACGAGCGCAACCCUUGUUCACUGUUGCCAGCACGUUAUGGUGGGGACUCAGUGGAGACCGCCGGGGUCAACUCGGAGGAAGGUGGGGAUGACGUCAAGUCCUCAUGCCCCUUAUGUCCAGGGCUUCACGCAUGCUACAAUGGCUGGUACAGAGAGUGGCGAGCCUGUGAGGGUGAGCGAAUCUCGGAAAGCCGGUCCCAGUUCGGAUUGGGGUCUGCAACUCGACCUCAUGAAGUCGGAGUCGCUAGUAAUCGCAGAUCAGCAACGCUGCGGUGAAUACGUUCCCGGG